rnacentral:rRNA from 1 species
CGCCCUUACGGGAGGCAGCAGCAAGGAAUUUUCCCCAAUGGGCGCAAGCUGAGGGAGCAACGGCGUGUGGAGGACGACGGCCUUCGGGUUGUAAACUUCUUUCGGGUGGGACGACUACGACGGUACCACCAGAAGCAGCCCCGGUCUAACUCUGUGCCAGCAGCCGCGGGUAAGACAGAGGGGGCAAGCGUUGUCCGGAGUUACUUGGCGUCAAGGGCGCGGAGGCGGCCUGCGGCGUCGGCGCUGAAAGGCCCGCUUAACGGGGGAGGCGUGCCGAUACGCGCAGGCUCGCGGCGAGCAGAGGGUGGUGGAAUUCCGGGUGGAGCGGUGAAAAUGCGUAGAGAUCCCGAGGAACGUCAGUACAGGAAGCCCGCCACCUGGGCUCUGGCUUACGGUGCGGAGCGACACGAUUGGGCGCGAGACAAAACCCCAGAUUUAGAAAUACCCCCAGGACUAAGGUCUCAAAUGUCGCAGAAAAUCAAUUUGCCAAAGCAUAGCGUCGCUUCUGGGGAAACGUAUUUUACCCUUUGCAUUCCUAGAAUUUACGCAAAUAAGCUUUCCCCCGUGAGACUUUUAGUCAA